rnacentral:tRNA from 1 species
GCUAGGCUAGCUCAAUCGGUAGAGCAACUGAUUUGUAAUCAGUAGGUUGCGGGUUCAAGUCCUGUGCCUAGCUCCA